rnacentral:misc_RNA from 1 species
AAACAUUGACGAGUUAUAACCUGACAGGAACAAUCAAACAGCUCAUUGUUACAAAUUUUGUGUGCUCUAGAUUCACAUUAGCAAGUUACAAUUUUCAGGAAUGGGUUAUCUUUGUUACUUCAUAACAAAUAGCAACUAGAAUGGCUAAAAUGAAUUGCUUCAUAUCAGUUAGCAAAUUCAAACUAAUGCAAGUCAUCAGAACUAUACAUCCAAAGCGAUUGUACUGGUUCUCCAAAUCCAACAGACUAAAACAAUAGAAUUUUGGACCUAAAAGAAGAGGGCAAAGACAAAGAAUCAAAGGAAGAUAAAAUCAAGUCUAACAGCAGAACCAAACUAACCUGCAGUCUGCUCAGAGUGA